AACGAACGCUGGCGGCAGGCCUAACACAUGCAAGUCGAGCGAGGACUUCGGUUCUAGCGGCGGACGGGUGAGUAACGCGUGGGAAUGUGCCCUUCUCUACGGAACAGCCCUGGGAAACUGGGAGUAAUACCGUAUACGCCCUAUUGGGGAAAGAUUUAUCGGAGAAGGAUCAGCCCGCGUUGGAUUAGGUAGUUGGUGGGGUAAUGGCCUACCAAGCCGACGAUCGGUAGCUGGUUUGAGAGGAUGAUCAGCCACACUGGGACUGGGAAACGGCACAGAUGGCUACGGGACGCAGCAGUGGGGAAGAGUGCACAAUGGGCGGAAGCCUGAUGGAGCAACGCCGCGUGCGGGAUGACGUACGGCGGGAUGUAAACCGCUUUCGCCUGUGACGAAGCGUGAGUGACGGUAAUGGGUAAAGAAGCACCGGCUAACUAAGUG
rnacentral:rRNA from 1 species